rnacentral:rRNA from 1 species
GGGUCAGUAGGUUGGUCGUGCCACCGGUACGUACUGGUCUCACUGAUUCCUCCUUCCUGAAGAACCGUAAUGCCAUUAAUUUGGUGUUGCGGGGAAACAGGACUGUUACUUUGAAGAAAUUAGAGUGUUUAAAGCAAGCGAACGCUUGAAUACAUUAGCAUGGAAUAAUGAAAUAGGACGAUCGAUCCUAUUUUGUUGGUUUCUAGAAUUGACGUA